rnacentral:lncRNA from 1 species
AGUCUUUUCCAAAUCAAGCCGAAUUAAGACUUGUUCAAAUAGUAUAAUGCAAAUCGUUCAAUCGGGAAUUGAUACCGCUAUACUGGGAGAUGUUCAUAUUCACCUAUAAAUGGACAAACAGCUUAAUAAGAUUUAGUUUGAUACAAGAUUCCAAACGAAGUGUCAGAAGCUAUUUUGAUUUGAAGGAUGGAAUUCCUGUUUUAAUAUUUCUCAUUUCUAUUGCCAGUAUUAUUGCGUUCAAAUUUUUUCAGUGAUCAAUUUUUACCAAAAGAAUUUGAAAGCUGUUUUGUCUGAAAUGUGGAAGUGUGAAGACGCUAUCGGGCUUGAGAUUACAAACAACUAUCCGGAUAAAAACGUCCCAGCCCAACCUGCGCUUAGGGAGAAAAAAUAAAAGUGCAAAAAACAGACUGUGUGGAUAGCCUAUGCUCUAUAAGGGAGUGAAUGGAGACAUACCGACAGAAACCCAGAACUUGUGGUUCAUGCGGAAUAACCCUCAUUCUAAGUAUCGAUGUCGCUUUUCUGCAGGUGCUUGAGGCCAGGUGCUGGCUCACCUUUGGGAACGGUUAGCCAGCACCAAUAAAAGUUGAAGGAAGUGUGAAUAAAUUUUCAGCAUAGUAAAGUUGCAAACAUAGCAAAUAGUUGAAUAAAUCAGCCCGAGGGUCUGGAUAUUCUAUUAAUCUAAAGCCGGGCCCACACCGGACGGGCUGCGUUGCGCCGAACAGGAAAUGUUUUGAGAAAAACUUCACUAUGAGUUUUGAGUGGAAUCAUGAUAAUAUUGAAAAACUCAAUAAAGCAUACCGAGAGAAUACAUUAUUGUGGAAACCGAUAGACAAUAACUACCCCAUAAAAAAUAAAAAAACCGACGCAUGGCUUCAUAUUCCUAGUCAUAUGUGAAGUGUCUGAAGCUAAGACCAAGAUGAGUUCUCUGCUGUCUUCAUACAGAAGAGAGAAAAGCAAAGAAAUCAAGGGUUGCUGGACAAGGCAAGGAAGCAAUUUAUAUAUUAUACUUCCUCCUUGGAAAGCUAGUUUCAGAAUUUUCGAACGAAAAUUACUGACUUUUUACUUUAAAUACGUUGAUGCCGAAAUGGAGAUGUACUCAUACCGUCAGCACAUGAGUUCUGCAUGUUCUUCCUACCAAAGUACUCAACAUACACCUGAAACAGAAAACGUCAAUCAGGAGAACUAACAACUUCAGGAAAUUGCAACAGCUCAACCUGGCAGUGAUUUGCAGGAGUAUCUCAAUACUUUUUAAAAUUAUUGCCCGAACACUUUUAAUUUGGUCUUGUUUAAACAGAACAAGUUACUUACUAACAUCUGUAAGAGCUCUUGAUAUGCUCUGCAUUGAGGUCUUAAAAAGGUACAUCAAGCUUGUAAAGGAAUCGAAGGAUGCCAGGUAGCGUAGCGUAAUAGCCAACCUCUCUUUCACAGAUAUAGCACUUCUGAUGUCUGGUGUCAUACUUCAUCGCUGCUGGUCUAAUAAAAGUAAGAAGAUACUCGAAGUCUAUCGGUGGCAUUCGACAAAAAUUUUCAAACUGACCUAUUCGGCCAAGCUGCAGUUCAUUAAGCAGAUUAUUUUCACCAUAUAAUUCCCUAUUUUUCAGAAUAGGUGUUACCCAGCAAUGACGUUUACGUUGAAACUUCCGGUCCUCUUUUAAAUGAUGAUAAAUUAUAACAAAAUUAGCAGAACUCGCCAUUUGGUCAUAUUCCACUACUGACUUAAACUAGAACUACACUACACUAGACAUGCGUAUACGCUGCACAUGGAACAAACUGCUCAAUCCUGAGCACCACCGUAGAACAGCGCGGUGCAGCGCAGCGUCUCCAGUGUGGACCCGGCUUAACAAAUCCGGUUGCUACGUUGCAGAAAUCCCAAGGGACAUAUACAGGGAUUCGAAAAGAAACUUUAGAGAUUCUUCUCGAAGUUCAACUCCUACGUCAACUUCAUUGGAAAAGA